CACACCGCCCGUCACAUCAUGGGAGUUGGUUUUACCCGAAGUCGAUGACUCAACCGCAAGGGAGAGUCGCCUAAGGUAAGGCUGAUGACUGGGAUG
rnacentral:rRNA from 1 species